CCCUCUUUGCACUAUGUAAAAGCUACCUCUCCUUCUUACAAAAUCCUCAAGACAUAAUAGAACUGCACUCAAGCCUUCUGUUGAGACUCCCUAUAUAAUCCCUGAUGAUGAUAGGGUUCAGAGAUCUUAUUCCUGAAAAAGCCAGUCUCUGAAAGGCAUGACCUGAUCAAGUAAUGUGAUCACUCCCAGCCCUCAAGGCAACUUGUUAACUAGUUCGGGCUGGGCCUCACCCAAAUGGGGCCCUAGCUGGUUUACCCUACAAAAAGAAGCCAAACGCUGUGGUCAACUACCCUGAGAGACUUGUGUGUCCUCAGGAGGUGGCCUGGCUCAAGAAGGAGAAAUAAAACCAGACAAAUCCUGAUUGGAGUGCUCAUAUCGGUAGAGGAAGCUGGAGCCUUAUGACCAGACCACUCAGCUGACUUCUCUCCUUCAAUGAUGAAGUAAUAAGGAGUGGCUAAGGACUCUUAUGUCGUCUUCUCAUCAAGUGUUCACCAGUUACGGUUGCCUUUUUCUUGUCAGGGAAGAUCCCAAUAAUGUGCUGUUAGGAAAACAGGGUGGGUAAUUAAGAUGACUUGAGACCCUGCCUUUUUGUCUUUGGUUACAGAGAAAGACCACUGACCAUCAGUUUGUUGAUUAAUGGCUGGCCUAAAUAAUAAAUAGAUUUUUA